UAAAAAGAGAAAAACGAUUUUGGCUUUUCAUUUUCUAUUAUUUUUUUUUAAAAUACUCUACUGAUCGCGAACACCAACAUCACAGUUAAACACUUUAGAAAAGCUAGUGAACAGUAUCAUCUCACAUACCAGUUAAUAAACCUUGUCCACGGAAGAUCCUUUUCUCUACUGGGAACGCUUGCAAUAGCUAUCACCUCUUUGUACACACCAAUCUGAACUAUAGUGACCAGCAGAACAACCCAAAAGUGACCCAUUGCCAAAGCAGUGAAAAAUAUACCGAGCAACAAAAAGGUCCAUAUAGUACGCGUAAUAAAAUUUUGACUUGGCUUUCUAGCCAAAGAUUUAUGUUUAGUAAGCCUCGCUGGCUCGGUAGUCUUGGAAGACGCGCUGUCCUUAUUUUGGACAACCCCAACAUUUCCAUUUUCUUUAUCCGAAUUAUUUCUUUUAUUAGUUCUCUUCCGCGCCAUACUUUAAAACUUCCCUAUCUUUGGAAAAACGCUUAUAAUUUUGUGGAAAAGAUUUGAUGGGUUUGAAGAGUGAGAUGUUAGUGGGUCAAGUUCUUGUUUCUUUUUACGAAAGUUAGUAAUAAUCUGUAUAAAUCGCACUAUAUGAAAUAUAUGUCAAUAAAAUCUCACUACACUAUAGUACGUUAUGUUACUAACCAUUAUAUGUUCUAAGCUUUAGAGACUUGCCUCGUGGGUACAAUACUCUCGAAUGAGUAAAAAAUUCGCUCCUUAAUGUAAGACUUUAAAAAAAAAAGCAUAACUGCUGUUUGUUUAAAUUAUUAAAACAAUAACCAAGACAAUUGCAUUUCUAAAAGAUUUCAUUAUUAUAUUAAGUUCAAAUUUUAAAAAUCAGAGCUUAGGAAAUAUAAAAUAUCGACCAUUAAUAUUAAUGAAUUUUUAA